GCAGGCAGGCAGCAGUUGAAGUGGUUCGAUCGUCUGCAAGUGGAGCCCAUCAGUCAGCCACCAGCACAACGGCAACAUUACAGAUACCAACAAUGGCGCACACAAAAGCAACAACAGCAACAGCAACAGCAACUGCAGCAACAUGGUAAAGUUAAAAUCAACAUACAUUGUUGCUGAACAUUUCCUUUUGUGCCAGAGAGCCCAGCCCAGUGCUCAGGGAGAGCAAAAGCCGGAAAGUGAAACGAGCUACGUCUGAAGUGAAAGAAAAAUAGCAACAGGCAACAAACAACCAACAACAGAACAACAAUGGCAACAAUAAUGCGCUUGAGGCGACCCUCUCUCAUCGAAAUGGAUUACAUAUAAAUAUACUUAUUGUUCCAUUUGGCAGCUGAAUAAAUAUUUCGGUCAGAAUUUGUGCCAAUUGAUAAUGGAUACGUGAUAAUGGAUAAUCGUCAUACUGUUAGCAAUGAGACAAAAGACAAACAAGCCCAACUGACUGAGUGACAUAUUUUCAGCACUUUGAUUACCUUCAAUUUACAUAUAUCAUUUUCUUUAUGCAAUUACAACAGAAUUGUUUGCCCCUACACACGCUCGAUCACGCAAGGUGCAGUCUUGAAUCAAAUAUUAUGAUCUCAGACUUAACCCGCAUAAGCUUAAUAAAAGCUGCAGCUAAGCAGCGUAAGGCACUCGUAAUUUUAUCAAUAAAAUUCAACGACAGUCUAAAGUACCCACUGAGCAGCAUGAAUAUUUUAUGGCAAUGUGUGAAGCCGCACAUUAUUAAUUAAAAUUUGCUCCAUCAACAACAACAACAACGAGAACAACACGUAGAGCAACAGCGUGCGCGGAAUUACGGCAAACGAGGCGGCAGUAAAAACUUCCAAUUACUCAAGCGUGCCCUCAUCCUUCUUCGACAAACACACAGCACAGGGACAUCACAUAAACGUUCAUACAUACACAUGUGUGUGUGUAUGUGUGUGUGUAAGUGUGUUUGUAUUUGCAUUUAAUAUCCUUUUCUUUGAAUAAUUCAUGCAUACAGGGCUGACCAAACGACUGAACAGCAUCAACUGCACACAGCGGCGUUGCAGGGCACAGGCAAAAGGCUGAUGACCGAAGGGCUUCCAUUUCAUUGUUGUUGUUGUUGUUGUUGUUGUUGUUGUUGCUGUGGCUGCUGCUGUUGCUGGGCAUUUUUUACGCAUACCGAUGGCGAAACUUAUUAAUUGGCACUUGAGCUGUGGUUACCACAGCUCGACAGAAUCCACGUUUCUUUUUUAUUUUGUAUUUUUGCCCUGGGCUCAACCAAAGCGCGCCGUCAUUCAAAUUUUUGAGCAGGCAUAAUUUAACAACUUUUUCGUCCACGGGCUGCGCCCGUCUCGUUGGAUAUUGGAUGUUGAACAUCGCUGGUAAUCCACUCAAGUAACAGGCUAUAACCACCACAGCGGCAACAAUAACAGUGGCAAAAAUUUACACGAGACUGACAAUGACAGAGCAACAAGAUUGGCGGACAUGCAGCAAGGGCAAACAAGCAACAGCAACAAGGGAAUACCCUGCAAUAGCUAGGACACUACUACUCUAGAGGAGUACUUCACGAUGAGGAGUAAAGUGAAUUGAAGAGAUUUCCCUUAAUGGCAAUUAUAGCUCUGUGUCUCUGGGUCAAUUCUAUGCCAGUUAUGAAGAGAAUAAGUGAGUUGUUAACUGGAAAGCUUACUGCUGCUAAUGUUAGUGUGCGCAUUAUGCAUAAAUGCAUAUGUCGUUGACUGACUGACAUUUUGACGCACAGGAGACAGCCUCAUAUCCCCCAGUGACUGCGCUAUCGUCACGUUUUACCAUUUAAAUUAAAAUGUUUCGCUUAAGAGAAAGAGAGCUGCAAAAAUUGCUUACGCCCGGCGAGAGCACAACAAAAAUCUCAGCCACAUCCCCUUCAGAAAAAAAUAUAAAAAAAAUUAAAAAACAAAAGUAAGAAAAAAGCUA